AGGGGGCCGUGCAGAAAUGGCCUAAGUAACUGGAAGAUUAUUGUGUCACUAUUCACCAGCUGAAAAUCUGUCUCUACAUCCUUGUUCUGUACAAAACCAGUCUGAUCAACAGACUACCCUUUUAUCUUCUUUAAAUAUCUAACAGUUUGUCUUCAUAAAACAGAGAUAUUUGCCUGCUUACAUGUGAAAACUGAUAGAACAUUAUAACUAAGUAGCCAAAUUCUCUACAUAAUUCUUUGAAAGGCGAGUGAUAUUAAAUUCCAGAAGUGUGCAUAGCUUUGCAGUCUGAUUCUGUAUGAGGAAUCCUAAGCAGAUCUACUUAUACGGAAGUACCAUGUUCAAUUGGAUUUACUCUCAGAAAUGUAUCCUUAGGAUUUCAUCCUAUAUCCUUUCAAAUUGAUUGAGCUUACACAUGAAUUACUAGCUUGUCUGGAUUAUUGUGAAAAGGCCUCUCAUUAUGGUUUUGAUUACCUAACUUAGUUCUUACCAUCUCAUUUGGCCUCUGAUGGGUUAACAUUCCUUAAUGGUUGACAUUUUUUUCCACUCUUUGGAAAAUCACAUUCCGCACAGGCACAAGGAACAAGUUUGUUGCUGUUUGGAUUUGAGCAUAGAGAGUCCAGGAAGUACCCAAGAGCUGAAACUUGUGAAAGUGGGUCAGUUGAGCCCUGCUUGUUGACAAACACAUUGUGUACAAACAGGAAUAAGAACUGUAUUAACUGGACUGCUAGCUGAGAUUUAUUUUGUAACGAAGGUUUAUGUACAGCAAAAAAAUAUCCCACCUCUUUGCUGAUCUUCUGGUGGUGCUGGACUUCAUGCAGAACAGGAGCACCAAGGACAGUAUUUAAUUUGCUGAAUAUGGGCCAGCAUCAUGGCCACAGCUGUACAUGUUUAUGAAGGUGAAAGGAAGACCCAAUAGGAAUGGGAUUAGGCUGUAAUGCAAUGGCAAAUAGAAUGGCUCUAGAACUAGAACAUUUCUUUUAAAAGACGUCUUUUUUUCUGCUUAUCACUAGUCUAGAACAAAAGUAGUACAGAAGUAGGUUUUAAAUUUGUAAGAGGUCAAGUACAGGAUCAGUUUCAGAUAUCCUGAAUCUGGAAUUCCACUUCUUGUAUGUAUGUAUUUUAUCCAAACAUCAUUUGGCCUCAAUUACUUGUAAUGAAACUUGGUUUAUUCUUCAUUUGUGCUGAUGUGUUUGCCAAGUCAGGUGAUCUGAGACGAAUGAAACCUAUGUAGUUUAUUUUGCACCUGUAAUUAUCUGUCUUUUAUUUCCAAGAAUUUUGUUCUGUGCUGUUACAUUUAUUACUAUUAUGGUUUCCAAAAGAACUAUGUACACUGGUGUUGACUUUUGCUGUUUACUAUAUUAUGUGAAUAAUAAAUAUUCCCAAUAUUGUACAAUCUA